rnacentral:tRNA from 2 species
GGGCGCUUAGCUCAGUGGGAGAGCGUCCGCCUUACACGCGGAAGGCCAGAGGUUCGAAUCCUCUAGCGCCCACCA